AUCGAGUGGAACUUAUUUUGUGGUCGUCGAUCACACCCCUUUUGGUUUUGAGAACGAUGUGGCCUUUUGCGAGUACUUGAUUAAGGAAGUUGGUGUGGUUGCGAUUCCUACGAGUGUAUUUUAUCUCAACCCCGAGGAUGGAAAGAAUCUGGUGAGGUUCACUUUCUGCAAGGAUGAGACUACUUUGAGGGCAGCAGCUGAG
rnacentral:misc_RNA from 1 species